rnacentral:misc_RNA from 1 species
AAUUCAUCUUGAUAUUCUUCUAAAUUUCCAUCUUGUCUAAGCUUCAUAAAUCCUUCCACUAGAUCUUCCAACUCUUCAUCCCCAAGCCUACUACAGAUUUCCUUCUCAAAUUCUUCCUAAGAAUGCACUCCUCCCCUGUUCCAAUUAUGAAACCAUGCAUCAACCCUAUCCACAAGCAACAUACUAGCUAUAGGUACCCUUUGAUCAAUUGGCACCCUUUAAACCUUGUAGAGAAAAUGGGUUGAGCUUAAUUCCACCAAAAAAG